GGGGGCGACCUGGCUUCGACGCGGGUCACAAAACCUAAGGGGCAUGCCGAGGCGCAGCACACCUCGUAAAUCCAACUGCAAACCAAUAUAGUUGCCAACAACGACAACUACGCCCUAGCGGCUUAAUCCCCGCUAGCCUCUGACUGAGUCCCGUGCUUGUGCGCUCAACUCAGAGGCCGACUCUCACAAGCUCGCGAUGAAACCCGCCCGAGGCGGAUUCGCUAAAACCUAAUCGGGCCCGCCGCCGGUAGUUCCUGCUACUCGGAAGACCGGCGGUUAAAUUGAAGAGCUGGCUACGCAUGUAGAACCGAGGGCGGAGGACUUGCGGACGCGGGUUCGAUUCCCGCCGCCUCCACCA
rfam:Chromatiales bacterium TSCg_Taylor scaffold_72, whole genome shotgun sequence.